AUUGAACGCUGGCGGCAGGCUUAACACAUGCAAGUCGAGCGGAGAUGAGGUGCUUGCACCUUAUCUUAGCGGCGGACGGGUGAGUAAUGCUUAGGAAUCUGCCUAUUAGUGGGGGACAACAUUCCGAAAGGAAUGCUAAUACCGCAUACGUCCCACGGGAGAAAGCAGGGGAUCUUCGGACCUUGCGCUAAUAGAUGAGCCUAAGUCGGAUUAGCUAGUUGGUGGGGUAAAGGCCUACCAAGGCGACGAUCUGUAGCGGGUCUGAGAGGAUGGUCCGCCACACUGGGACUGAGACACGGCCCAGACUCCUACGGGAGGCAGCAGUGGGGGAUAUUGGACAAUGGGGGGAACCCUGAUCCAGCCAUGCCGCGUGUGUGAAGAAGGCCUUAUGGUUGUAAAGCACUUUAAGCGAGGAGGAAGGGGUGUGUGUUAAUAGUACACACCUUUGACGUUACUCGCAGAAGAAGCACCGGCUAACUCUGUGCCAGCCGCCGCCGUAAAAC
rnacentral:rRNA from 1 species